rnacentral:lncRNA from 1 species
AAUAUUCCUUCUUCACACUUGGAUACAAGUGGGAGAUUGCUCUAGCUUGAGGUUUUGGGAAGACUGAUGGUUGGGCUCCCAAUCUUUACCUACUCAAUUCCCAAGGCUCUACAGUUUAUCACUUAGACACCAAGCACAAAUAUCCUGUUUUACAACAACUUCCCAUGGUCGGACAUCUUGGAACUUUCAUUUAUCUCACGACCUCUUCAACAAGGAGACUUUCAACGUUAACCUUAUUGGACCUAUUGGCACCUAUCACUUUGUCCUCCCAGCCUAAUCAAAGAUUGUGGACCUUGUAGUCUUCAGGUAUUUUCACUUGUAAAUCCCUCUUUCUACAUCUUGUCAGCGCCCCU